rnacentral:rRNA from 1 species
AGCGUUCGUAGCCGGCCGGAAAAGUUCUCCGUUAAAUCCGACGAUCCAAUCGUUGGGCUGCGGGGAAUACUUUUCGGCUUGGGGGCGGGGGAGGUCGGCGGUAGUCCCGGGGUAGGGGCGAAAUCCUAUAAUCCCGGGAGGACCACCAGUGGCGUAGGCGGCCGACUAAAACGCGCCCGACGGUGAGGGACGAAAGCUGGGGGAGCGAACGGGAUUAGAUACCCCGGUAGUCCCAGCUGUAAACGAUGCAGGCUAGGUGUUGGGACGGCUACGAGCCGUCUCAGUGCCGCAGGGUAACCAUUAAGCCUGCCACCUGGGAAGUACGGUCGCAAGGCUGAAACUUAAAGGAAUUGGCGGGGGAGCACAAGCC